rnacentral:lncRNA from 1 species
AAGGCAGUAACUGGGUUCCAGCAUGUACCAACAUGUCUUUUCUGAGGAGCUAUGAUGCAUUCAAGGGUCCUCCUUUCGCUUUCAUGACCAGUUCUAAAACAUCUGUCGUGCUCAGUGUGACAACAUGGUUCCUAAUGGUUCAGCUCUGCCUCGGUCAACACAGAGCCCUACUCGGCACAACCCCCAACAUUAAACACAUUGUGGUCGGAAGGUGCUACAAUUACAUCACACUCAUUAACGCCACUUCAAGGCAUGACUGUGAGGAUAUCUGGAGACAUUUUGAGGAGGCGGUUGUUCGUCAGUCUUCUUGUAACGUGACG